rnacentral:rRNA from 1 species
GAUGAACGCUGGCGGCGUGCCUAAUACAUGCAAGUCGAGCGAAUGGAUUAAGAGCUUGCUCUUAUGAAGUUAGCGGCGGACGGGUGAGUAACACGUGGGUAACCUGCCCAUAAGACUGGGAUAACUCCGGGAAACCGGGGCUAAUACCGGAUACCAUUUUGAACCGCAUGGUUCGAAAUUGAAAGGCGGCUUCGGCUGUCACUUAUGGAUGGACCCGCGUCGCAUUAGCUAGUUGGUGAGGUAACGGCUCACCAAGGCAACGAUGCGUAGCCGACCUGAGAGGAUGAUCGGCCACACUGGGACUGAGACACGGCCCAGACGCCUACGGGAGGCAGCAGUAGGGAAUCUUCCGCAAUGGACGAAAGUCUGACGGAGCAACGCCGCGUGAGUGAUGAAGGCUUUCGGGUCGUAAAACUCUGUUGUUAGGGAAGAACAAGUGCUAGUUGAAUAAGCUGGCACCUUGACGGUACCUAACCAGAAAGCCACGGCUAACUACGUGCCAGCCGCCACAGUAA